rnacentral:rRNA from 1 species
AUACGAAGGGGGCUAGCGUUGUUCGGAUUUACUGGGCGUAAAGCGCACGUAGGCGGAUUGAUCAGUUAGGGGUGAAAUCCCGAGGCUCAACCUCGGAACUGCCUUUAAUACUGUCAGUCUAGAGACCGGAAGAGGUGAGUGGAACUCCUAGUGUAGAGGUGGAAUUCGUAGAUAUUAGGAAGAACACCAGUGGCGAAGGCGGCUCACUGGUCCGGUACUGACGCUGAGGUGCGAAAGCGUGGGGAGCAAACAGGAUUAGAAACCCCAGUAGUCC